AUGCACGCUGGCGGCGUGCUUCACCCAUGCCAGUCGCACGGUGAAGGCGGAGCUUGCUCUGCUGGAUCAGUGGCGAACGGGUGAGUAACACGUGAGCAAUCUGCCCCUGACUCUGGGAUAAGCGCUGGAAACGGCGUCUAAUACUGGAUACGAGCUGCGAAGGCAUCUUCAGCAGCUGGAAAGAACUUCGGUCAGGGAUGAGCUCGCGGCCUAUCAGCUUGUUGGUGAGGUAACGGCUCACCAAGGCGUCGACGGGUAGCCGGCCUGAGAGGGUGACCGGCCACACUGGGACUGAGACACGGCCCAGACUCCUACGGGAGGCAGCAGUGGGGAAUAUUGCACAAUGGGCGAAAGCCUGAUGCAGCAACGCCGCGUGAGGGACGACGGCCUUCGGGUGGUAAACCUCUUUUAGCAGGGAAGAAGCGAAAGUGACGGUACCUGCAGAAAAAGCGCCGGCGAACUACGG
rnacentral:rRNA from 1 species